GGAAAAGUUAUAGGGGCUAUAGGAUUGGCUUGAAACCAGUUUUAGGGGGUUCGACUCCCUCCUUUUUCG
rnacentral:tRNA from 1 species